CCUGACCACACUAACAACACAUGGUCUCUGUAGACAACCCAGGGUCUACAAACGGCAAGAAAAACAAACUGUGCUCACCUGCACCACGAAGCAUACACAAACGGUGUUCCAGUGUUCCAGCCAAUAACCAACAAGAA